AUGGUCCAGAUCGGCUCAUGGAGCAGCCACCCGUCGUCGUCGUCGUGCUGCCUCGCCACGGCGUCGCCAUGUUCGCCGCCGCCGGAGCUGCUGUGCUCCUCCACGUGCUUCUUCUCGGUCUCCAGCACGAUGCGGGCGCCGGCCGUGCCGCCAAGCUCGCGGAGCAGGGUGUGCGUCGGGAGUGCCAGCUCUACCACGAGCGCCGGGCGGCACCGCGGGUUCUCCUGCAGCGCGAGCGACACGCGGCCCUCGCGGCAGCCGAAGAGCGUGCCAGUCAUGUGUCGCCGGGACGACGCGCCGACGCCUCCGCCGCCGUUCAACGUGGUCGAGGGCGAGAUGAUCUGCGACAGGAGGGAGUCCGACCGCGCCGGUGACGCGGACGCGGCCGCCGCGGUCGGAGGCGCCGCCAGAAUCCCCCCGCAGCGCGGCACCGUCAGCACCGGCAGAGACCGGAACAUGCUCUGGAAAAUCCUCACGGGCUUGGAUCUCCGAGCCGGCCUUCGACGCGCGGGCGGCUCCUCCAGCGCGUGGCCCGCCGGGGCGCGCGUUGUGGACGUCGACGGCAGCGAGGGCGGGAGACGGAGGAUGGUGUCCACGGACGACAUGGACGACAUGGACGACGUCAAACGCGCCCUUUUGCUCUCGGGGUCGACCGCGGCGUUGGCCAUGGUAUCGGCGGGAGGCGAGAGCUACCGGCGGUGCCGCGGCGCGGCCGGCGCUGCUCGCUCCCUCGGCCGUGAAUGUGCGAUAAUCGUGUGGCGCGCGGUGCCCAUGGGAGGGGGCGGGACGAGGUCUUUGAUGCCAUCGCCGUUAGGACUGCCGGAUGUCGCGGCGGCGGAUUCGGUGUGUUCGUUCGUCGCCACUGGCGCGCAGCCAUUGAUUCCUGUUGCUCGGUUACGCGCCCUGCUGGUGAUUCUGCGGUGGAAAGGCCCUUAG
rnacentral:rRNA from 1 species